rnacentral:lncRNA from 1 species
CUUUUUUCGUCCUUUUUCCCCCCUUCCUCUGAUUUUGCGUUUUGUUUGUUUUUCGGGUUUUUUUUAUUGUAUCUCGAUCAUUUUUGUACAGAAGAAACGAGAGCCUUUUUUUGAAUAACAAAGAGAAAACACACACAAAAAAGGACAAAAAAAAGAAAAAAAAAAAAAAGAAAAAAAUACCAAAAAUUAAAAAGAGGAAGGAAGGUUAAAAAAAAAAAAAAAGGAAAAAAAAAAAUCAUGAUGCAAUUUCUUUGGAUUGCAAAAAAAGCAACUCUUUACAUUUAAGUGAAGUGUCUUAACAUUUUAUAUUGUUUUAAAAAAUAUAUUUACAUAUUAUAUAUAUAUAAUAUACGUAAUAUAAAUCUAUAUAUAAAUAUUUAAAGAGGGGAAAAAAAAAUCCUAAAAAAAAAAAAAAAAAGAGGAAAAAAGAAGAGAAAUAGAGAAAUAAAUAAAUCACGUCCGGAAUUAUUUAGGGGCUGGAUUCCAAAUCCCUGCUUAGGUUUAGAGCUCCUCGUGUCGCGCUGAGUCCCCGCCCUCUCUCCUUGUCCCCAGGUGUCCCCAGGUGUCCCCAGGUGUCCCCUGGUGGCCUUGGGGACACCGGCCCGCGCCCCAGUGCCAGCAGCAAUAGCAGUCGCGGAUGCGUUCCCAAUUAAUUUGAUUUUUAAUUAAUUUUUUUUCUCGGUACCAAAGUGGAUUCGCUGUAGCAAAGCCGCAGUGGUGGCACGUGGCGCUGUCCCCUCCCCUGCCCCGCCCUGUCACCUUCUGUCACCUCCUUUUGUCACCUCCUGGCGCCUGAGGAGGGGGCGCGGUGGCAGCUCCCGAGCGCUGCUGGCUGGAGGUGACAAUGCCAUCCUCCAUGGGUGACAAUGCCACCCCCUUGGGGACAUCCAGAUGGAGGUGACAAUGCCAUCCUCCAUGGGUGACAAUGCCACCCCUGUGGGGACAUCUGCAUGGAGGUGACAAUGCCACCCCCUUGGGGACACCCAUAUGGGGGUGACAAGUGCCACCCCCUUGUGGACACCCUCAAAAAUGUCAUGGGGGGGUGACAAUGCCACCCACUCGGUGACACCCACCUCCAGGGUGACAAUGCCACCCACUUGAGGACACCCACAAAAAUGUCAUGGGGGGUUGACAAGUGCCACCCUCCAUGGGGACGCCAACAAAAAUGACACUGGAGGAGGCUGUCCUCAAUGUCCCCACUUUAGUGUCCCCAUCAUGGUGUCCCCACCUCGGUGUCCCAAAUUUGGUGUCCUCAUCUCGGUGUCCCCAAUUUGGUGUCCCCAUCUUGUGUCCCCAAUUUGGUGUCCCAAAUUUGGUGUCCCCAUCUUGGUGUCCCCAUCUCAGUGUCCCAAAUUUGGUGUCCCCAAUUUGGUGUCCCCACCAUGGUGUCCCCAGCCUGUCACCAAUUUUGGGGCUGGUCCCCUGCUUUGUCCCCAGGCCGCCCCUCUCCGCUCGUCAUAAGCCGGGAGGUGACAAUGCCAAACCAGGGGGUGACAGCGCCAGGUGAGGGGGGUGACAAGGCCAGCUGAGGGGGUGGCAGGUCCCAAACUGUCCCCAAACCCCCCCCCGUGAUGUCCCCUUGUCCCAGCUGGUGUCCCCGUGAGCGUGAUGUCCCCGCGUGUGCGUGUGCGUCCGUCCCCUUCAUGGCAUCGCGCAAAUCCCCCGCUGAAGCAAAAACAACAACAAAAAACCAAAAAAACCACCAAAAUUCAAAACAAAACAACUCGAAUCCGGUUCAAACCGGAAAAAAAAAAAUUAAAAAUGACAAAAAAAAAGAGGAAAAUGUGUAAAAAGCACAAAAAAAGCCCAAAUCCAAGCGCUGCCUGCAUCGUGCAUGUGUCGGAGGCGCCCGCUGCAUGCGCUCCCCGCUUUACUCGUCUGGAUGUUGUUUCAAAACCAACAAAAAUAAAAAUAAAAGGCUACGACUCCGAAAAGGACAAAAAAAAAGAAAAAAAAAAA